UCCUCAGAGAAGCCCCAGAGCACAGCUCGUCACCAUGGACUGGACCUGGAGAAUCCUCGUCUUGGUGGCAGCAGCAACAGGUGCCCACUCCCAGGUGCAGCUGGUACAGUCUGGGCCUGAGGUGAAGAAGCCUGGGGCCUCCGUGAAGGUCUCCUGCAAGGCUUCUGGAUACACCUUCACCAGCUAUAUUAUCAGCUGGGUGCGACCAGGCCCCUGGACAAGGGCUCCAGUGGAUGGGAUGGAUCUACCCUGGUAAUGGUAACACAAAGUACACACAGAAGUUCCAGGGCAGAGUCACCAUGACCGCGGACAAGUCCACGAGCACAGCCUACAUGGAGCUGAGCAGCCUGAGACAUGAGGACACGGCCGUGUAUUACUGUGCGAGAGACACAGUGUGAAAACCACAUCCUGAGAGUGUCAGAAAUCCCAGGGAG